rnacentral:rRNA from 1 species
CAGUAGCCACGGUAAUGCGUAGGGGGCUAGCGUUAUCCGGAUUUACUGGGCGUAAAGGGUGCGUAGGUGGUCCUUCAAGUCGGUGGUUAAAGGCUACGGCUCAACCGUAGUAAGCCACCGAAACUGGAGGACUUGAGUGCAGGAGAGGAAAGUGGAAUUCCCAGUGUAGCGGUGAAAUGCGUAGAUAUUGGGAGGAACACCAGUAGCGAAGGCGGCUUUCUGGACUGCAACUGACACUGAGGCACGAAAGCGUGGGUAGCAAACAGGAUUAGAUACCCCCGUAGUCCCUGUCUCUUAUACA